GCUUCCAGUGGACUUAAAAUCAGACCAUUAGGGUCUGAAGCUGCCCAUGAAUCAGGAAAAUUGUCAGAACCUGUAGGGAUUAUCUAGGAUGAUUAAGGAGAAUAUAACAUCAAAUCAAUAACAGAAAACCAUCCUGGUAGGAGUAGGGUCAAUAGCUUCAUACAAGCUUAAGUUUUUCCUAUUCUGACACUUAGAAAUGAGGUUUGCUUUAUUUGUACACUGGAAAAAUAACCUGUUGCUAAUGCAGGCACUCCUUGAAGCAAAACCAAUGAGGACAAUGAAAAUGACCCUGCAGCAAGAUGGAAUGGCUUGAGCACCCACGCUACAAAAGGAAGCCUGACAGAAUAAUAUGACUAGAAAUCAUUAGUUUUUCUGCCUUCUUUUGUUGUUAGGUUACUUAACCUACCACAAGCCAUUUGGAGGAAACCCGAUCUCUUCAUUAGUCCAUCAGAAAUCUGGACUGGAAUUUCACAUAAUUUGGAAAAGAAGCAUACUGAAGAACUUAAGCACAGCCAAAACCUCAGUACCCUCCCAAAGGUAUGACUCAUUCCACAGUCCUGCAUUCAUAGACAGCCACAGCAAAGGUCCUAGGCUUUGGCCAGCAUCUGUCUGCAGUGCAGGGUAUAAAGAGUUGCACAAACGGCAUGGAAAAAACAAAGGAAAACAAAAGGAUUUUUGAAAGGGAGUGAAAUACCCCUGUUACAAAUGAAAGAGAAAUAUAAAAACAGCCCCCUUUUUCUCAGAAUUGGUUAUGUUUCCCUAAUCUGGUGAAUUCCCCAUUAUCAAACCACAGUGAACCUUCAUUCAGCUCUUCACUCUCUGCAUCUUGUUGAGACAGAACCCGGCUAUUUUUACAUGUUUUCAAAGCCAAACAAUUUGAAAGUAACUAGACACAAAUGAGAUCACAGAUAACUAAAUAAUAAUAUAUGGCAUUGUCUUCCAGACACUGUCUGACAAGUUAAACUCUUUUUCCAAAGAAGCUGAAGAUAGAAGACAAUAGAGCUGUAGUUCACUGCACAAGGAAAGACACGAAUGUUAGUAUUUUGCAGCAUCUGGUUAAAAGUUUUGUUUUGUUUUUCUGAGUUUGUCAUUCAUGGCUCUGAAUUAUACAAGGAUCCACAGGGCUAAAAUCAGCAAUACUGGAAAGAAAUAACCAUAUUGCCUAUGGUUGCUUGUUUCUCUGUUGUUGGCCUAUUAAACUUACAAUAACCUUUGGAUAUUAAACUGGCUUCUGUUACACUACUUCAUUAUGCUCAACAAGUUGUUAACACUACAAGGUAGCUCUUUGUUGUAUUCAUCCUAGGGUGCUGCCAGACCACUGCAAACUCAAGUCUGAGACUGGCUUUUCUAUUUAGCUUAAAUUGCAUUGCUCAGAACAAGCAAUAUGCAAAAUUAAAAAAAAAAAAAAAAAAAAGACAUGCAAAAAUGUCUAAGGCAGAAAACAAGUAGACAAAAAAAAUUAAAAGUAUGAUCAGGACUCAUUAAGAAGUCUUGCUUAUUGAUUUCCACUUUACACAAGACUUGAAUUUACUAAUUUAAUACGUGCUGUAUCCCCCUUCUUAAUUAAGACACAUCAGGUAAUACUACAACAACAUCCUAUUUAGCCUUUUGUUUUGAGACAAAAGAAAUAGGCUUUUAUUAGAUCAAUUACUGAUGCAGUUCACUGGCGAUCUAUAGAAGGUCAAAACAACAUGGCAUUGCUACUUAUUUAACUUCACACAAUGACUUCAGCCAGAAACUCCUUUACUUUUUUGCCUCAUCUCAGCAAUAGUGCAUUCUAAAAUAACGUGGAGUAGAGACAAAGACAAGUUUUUCUUCAUGAAUCAUAGGCAAGAAGUUAGAUUCAGUUAUACACCUUUGCAGCUUUAUGCUAUUCUACCAAGGCCAAGUAGCUAAACUUAGAGAGCAUCUCAGCUGUUCAAAGCAAACGAAAAUAAUUGCAUAGUUCCAACUGACAAAAUAAAGCAGCUCUCCUGUUGGAGAGACAGGAAUUACAACAGGAAAAAUAUCUGAAAGGAAAAGGCCAUUGACUGUAUUAGUAAUAUUUACAUUACCAAAAUUAGCAAUAAGACUAUUUCAGAAAUCCUUAACAUUUUCCAUGUUGCUUUCUACCACAAAAGUGAUUGGUAAAUUCUCCUGCCAUUUAAUAAUGAAAAAGGGAAGAUGGAUGUCAGUGUUGUGAAGCUGUUUGUAAGCAUUAUAUUCUGAACUCACACCACAUCAUGAUUACAUGAUGAGACAACUCAAAAAAAAAUUUUUUUUAAAUAUAUAUCACUCCCACAAAAAUCAACCAAAAAUAUAUGAGGCCAAAUUCUGCACUGAUUUACACCAUGAGACAUCAGAAGUGAAUGGGAGCACACUGACUGCUA